ACUAGUGAAUAAGGGGUGGGCAAGUUCUGGUGUCAGCCGCCGCGGUAAAACCAGCACCUCAAGUGGUCAGGAGGAUUAUUGGGCCUAAAGCAUCCGUAGCCGGCUCUUCAAGUUUUCGGUUAAAUCUGUACGCUUAACGUAUAGGCUGCCAAAAAUACUGUAGAGCUAGGGAGUGGGAGAGGUAGACGGUACUCGGUAGGAAGGGGUAAAAUCUUUUGAUCUAUUGAUGACCACCUGUGGCGAAGGCUGUCUACCAGAACAUGUUCGACGGUGAGGGAUGAAAGCUGGGGGAGCAAACCUGAUUAGAUACCCGGGUAGUCCCAGCUGUAAACGACGCAGACUCGAUGAUGUAUUAGCAUAUAGCUGAUACAGUGUCGCAGGGAAGCCGUUAAGUCUGCCGCCUGGGAAGUACGUACGCAAGUAUGAAACUUAAAGGAAUUGGCGGGGGAGCACCACAAGGGGUGA
rnacentral:rRNA from 1 species